AUGAAGAGAGGGUAUUCAUUCAAGAGGAAUCUGCAAGGAUAUCAGAAGAAAUUGAAUGUCUUCUUUUGCUCGGCAUUUCCUUCCUCACAAUUACAUCUUCUCCUGGACAGGAGCUUCUCACAAGAAACCCAGGCAGUCUUCUCUCCAUUUCUUGCAUUGAUCUCGUUCUCCAGCACGUACCUGGUUCAGGGCUUGCAAGGAACAUGGUGGAAUUGCUUCAGACAGCUACCACCAUCCACGCUCCUGCAACUGACUCUGUACAGCCAGGCCUCUGACUGCACAGCCUCUGGCAAAGGACACAAGGGACCACUCUGCUUUUGGGGGCCCAGCUGCAGAAGGCAGGAGGUGGGUCAGAUAAUGGUAGAACACAGCUCUAGCUUUUGUGUAGUGUGCAUUAGCUUAACACAAGGAAGGUGUGAUGAUUACACACAGGCUCUGGGUGCAUGCUACUUUGUCUUGUGA
rnacentral:lncRNA from 1 species